CUCCCAUUCAGGCCCACGUCCUGUCUUCUAGAGCUCUGCCCUGACCAUGUGCACGACUCACACCUUCUUUAGGUACAUAAACGUGUGUCCUACGGCAAGAGCACAGAGGUCAAAGUCCUGGGUGUCAGUCAAGCUCAGCAGCAGAGCUGAGAAAAAAAUGGAAAGGGUCCUUCAGUCCAUGAACAUUGUGAAGAACAAGCAAGGGCUUGAGCUGUAAGCUGUGAGACCCCUGCCUUCCACUCAUUCCCGUUCGUCUUGCAAGCUUUUGUUGUAAGAAUCGAUGAACGUUAAGAAAUCCGCACAAUGGAGAUGAUAGCAAGCACAAGUAAAAUCUAAUCAUAAACUUCCAGGACAAGAAAAAGAAAUAAAGAUGGGAAAAACACAAGGUUUCA
rnacentral:lncRNA from 1 species